GCAUACCAGUGAAAGGCGCUUUCGGGUGUCGCUGAUGGAUGGACCCGCGGUGCAUGGCUCAGUUGGGGAAGUAUCCCCUCCUGGUCUGACGAUGCACCACCGACCUGGGAGGGUGAUCGCCCUCACUGCUCCUGAGACAGGGCCCAGACUCCUAUAUUACGCAGUGGUAGGG
rnacentral:rRNA from 1 species